rnacentral:rRNA from 1 species
UCCUAACCAAACUCCGAAUACCGGGGCGUACUGAUCGGCAGACACACGGCGGGUGCUAACGUCCGUCGUGGAGAGGGAAACAACCCUGACCGCCAGUUAAGGUCCCUAAGUUAUGGCUAAGUGGGAAAGGAUGUAGAACUCCCAAAACAACCAGGAUGUUGGCUUAGAAGCAGCCAUCAUUUAAAGAAAGCGUAACAGCUCACUCAUCAAGCGAUCCUGCGCCGAAAAUGUAACGGGGCUAAAGCCAUUUACCGAAAUUGUGGGCUCGAAAGAGCGGUAGCGGAGCGUUCCGUAAGCCUGCGAAGGUGCACUGCGAGGUGUGCUGGAGGUAUCGGAAGUGAGAAUGUUGACAUGAGUAGCGA